rnacentral:snoRNA from 1 species
GAUCACCGUAUGAUGAUUUUUGGAUUAAAAUUCUCACGAUGGUCAUCUGAGGUACUUUUUGUGUGCCUAACUGAUGAAACAUCCGAAUUUCCUGAUGGUC